rnacentral:rRNA from 1 species
ACGGGUGAGUAACGCGUGAGUAACCUGCCUUCAAGAGGGGGAUAACAUUCUAAAAAGAAAUGCUAAUACCGCAUGACAUAUCGGAACCACAUGGUUUUGAUAUCAAAGAUUUUAUCGCUUGAAGAUGGACUCGCGUCCGAUUAGUUAGUUGGUGAGGUAACGGCUCACCAAGACCGCGAUCGGUAGCCGGACUGAGAGGUUGAACGGCCACAUUGGGACUGAGACACGGCCCAGACUCCUACGGGAGGCAGCAUG